rnacentral:rRNA from 1 species
UACGAAGGGGGCUAGCGUUGCUCGGAAUGACUGGGUGUAAAGGGCGCGUAGGCGGUUUGGACAGUCAGAUGUGAAAUUCCUGGGCUCAACCUGGGGGCUGCAUUUGAUACGUUCGGACUAGAGUGGGGAAGAGGGUCGUGGAAUUCCCAGUGUAGAGGUGAAAUUCGUAGAUAUUGGGAAGAACACCGGUGGCGAAGGCGGCGACCUGGUCCUUGACUGACGCUGAGGCGCGAAAGCGUGGGGAGCAAACAGG